GGGUUGUGAGGUUAAGCGACUAAGCGUACACGGUGGAUGCCCUGGCAGUCAGAGGCGAUGAAGGACGUGCUAAUCUGCGAUAAGCGUCGGUAAGGUGAUAUGAACCGUUAUAACCGGCGAUUUCCGAAUGGGGAAACCCAGUGUGAUUCGUCACACUAUCAUUAACUGAAUCCAUAGGUUAAUGAGGCGAACCGGGGGAACUGAAACAUCUAAGUACCCCGAGGAAAAGAAAUCAACCGAGAUUCCCCCAGUAGCGGCGAGCGAACGGGGAGCAGCCCAGAGCCUGAAUCAGUGUGUGUGUUAGUGGAAGCGUCUGGAAAGGCGCGCGAUACAGGGUGACAGCCCCGUACACAAAAAUGCACAUACUGUGAGCUCGAUGAGUAGGGCGGGACACGUGGUAUCCUGUCUGAAUAUGGGGGGACCAUCCUCCAAGGCUAAAUACUCCUGACUGACCGAUAGUGAACCAGUACCGUGAGGGAAAGGCGAAAAGAACCCCGGCGAGGGGAGUGAAAAAGAACCUGAAACCGUGUACGUACAAGCAGUGGGAGCACAGAGCAAUCUGUGUGACUGCGUACCUUUUGUAUAAUGGGUCAGCGACUUAUAUUCUGUAGCAAGGUUAACCGAAUAGGGGAGCCGAAGGGAAACCGAGUCUUAACUGGGCGUUAAGUUGCAGGGUAUAGACCCGAAACCCGGUGAUCUAGCCAUGGGCAGGUUGAAGGUUGGGUAACACUAACUGGAGGACCGAACCGACUAAUGUUGAAAAAUUAGCGGAUGACUUGUGGCUGGGGGUGAAAGGCCAAUCAAACCGGGAGAUAGCUGGUUCUCCCCGAAAGCUAUUUAGGUAGCGCCUCGUGAAUUCAUCUCCGGGGGUAGAGCACUGUUUCGGCAAGGGGGUCAUCCCGACUUACCAACCCGAUGCAAACUGCGAAUACCGGAGAAUGUUAUCACGGGAGACACACGGCGGGUGCUAACGUCCGUCGUGAAGAGGGAAACAACCCAGACCGCCAGCUAAGGUCCCAAAGUCAUGGUUAAGUGGGAAACGAUGUGGGAAGGCCCAGACAGCCAGGAUGUUGGCUUAGAAGCAGCCAUCAUUUAAAGAAAGCGUAAUAGCUCACUGGUCGAGUCGGCCUGCGCGGAAGAUGUAACGGGGCUAAACCAUGCACCGAAGCUGCGGCAGCGACGCUUAUGCGUUGUUGGGUAGGGGAGCGUUCUGUAAGCCUGCGAAGGUGUGCUGUGAGGCAUGCUGGAGGUAUCAGAAGUGCGAAUGCUGACAUAAGUAACGAUAAAGCGGGUGAAAAGCCCGCUCGCCGGAAGACCAAGGGUUCCUGUCCAACGUUAAUCGGGGCAGGGUGAGUCGACCCCUAAGGCGAGGCCGAAAGGCGUAGUCGAUGGGAAACAGGUUAAUAUUCCUGUACUUGGUGUUACUGCGAAGGGGGGACGGAGAAGGCUAUGUUGGCCGGGCGACGGUUGUCCCGGUUUAAGCGUGUAGGCUGGUUUUCCAGGCAAAUCCGGAAAAUCAAGGCUGAGGCGUGAUGACGAGGCACUACGGUGCUGAAGCAACAAAUGCCCUGCUUCCAGGAAAAGCCUCUAAGCAUCAGGUAACAUCAAAUCGUACCCCAAACCGACACAGGUGGUCAGGUAGAGAAUACCAAGGCGCUUGAGAGAACUCGGGUGAAGGAACUAGGCAAAAUGGUGCCGUAACUUCGGGAGAAGGCACGCUGAUAUGUAGGUGAAGUCCCUCGCGGAUGGAGCUGAAAUCAGUCGAAGAUACCAGCUGGCUGCAACUGUUUAUUAAAAACACAGCACUGUGCAAACACGAAAGUGGACGUAUACGGUGUGACGCCUGCCCGGUGCCGGAAGGUUAAUUGAUGGGGUUAGCGCAAGCGAAGCUCUUGAUCGAAGCCCCGGUAAACGGCGGCCGUAACUAUAACGGUCCUAAGGUAGCGAAAUUCCUUGUCGGGUAAGUUCCGACCUGCACGAAUGGCGUAAUGAUGGCCAGGCUGUCUCCACCCGAGACUCAGUGAAAUUGAACUCGCUGUGAAGAUGCAGUGUACCCGCGGCAAGACGGAAAGACCCCGUGAACCUUUACUAUAGCUUGACACUGAACAUUGAGCCUUGAUGUGUAGGAUAGGUGGGAGGCUUUGAAGUGUGGACGCCAGUCUGCAUGGAGCCGACCUUGAAAUACCACCCUUUAAUGUUUGAUGUUCUAACGUGGACCCGUAAUCCGGGUUGCGGACAGUGUCUGGUGGGUAGUUUGACUGGGGCGGUCUCCUCCUAAAGAGUAACGGAGGAGCACGAAGGUUGGCUAAUCCUGGUCGGACAUCAGGAGGUUAGUGCAAUGGCAUAAGCCAGCUUGACUGCGAGCGUGACGGCGCGAGCAGGUGCGAAAGCAGGUCAUAGUGAUCCGGUGGUUCUGAAUGGAAGGGCCAUCGCUCAACGGAUAAAAGGUACUCCGGGGAUAACAGGCUGAUACCGCCCAAGAGUUCAUAUCGACGGCGGUGUUUGGCACCUCGAUGUCGGCUCAUCACAUCCUGGGGCUGAAGUAGGUCCCAAGGGUAUGGCUGUUCGCCAUUUAAAGUGGUACGCGAGCUGGGUUUAGAACGUCGUGAGACAGUUCGGUCCCUAUCUGCCGUGGGCGCUGGAGAAUUGAGGGGGGCUGCUCCUAGUACGAGAGGACCGGAGUGGACGCAUCACUGGUGUUCGGGUUGUCAUGCCAAUGGCACUGCCCGGUAGCUAAAUGCGGAAGAGAUAAGUGCUGAAAGCAUCUAAGCACGAAACUUGCCCCGAGAUGAGUUCUCCCUGACUCCUUGAGAGUCCUGAAGGAACGUUGAAGACGACGACGUUGAUAGGCCGGGUGUGUAAGCGCAGCGAUGCGUUGAGCUAACCGGUACUAAUGAACCGUGAGGCUUAACCUUACAACGCCGAAGCUGUU
rnacentral:rRNA from 1 species